rnacentral:lncRNA from 1 species
AAAACACAAAGUAUGGGUGAAGUCCAUAUGUGAUAGCAAAUUGAGUUGAUUACAUGUGAAAUGUCAUGUGCAGACUGCCCAUGUUUAUAUAACCUGCCUUGAUCAGCUAUGUCCACUGCAUAGAAGAAGAUCCUGCUUUCCCGUACAUACAAGAAACCCUCACCAUUCACAGGUAACAGUCGCAAAACUUUGA